UCACUCUUGGUGCAUCGUCAAGUGUUCAUUUUUUUAAAUCAUUCAUAUUCAGUCACAGUCAUUGUGCCACCUACUGGUCACUGGAAGUAACCCUUGUGUUAAUUACCCUUCGGACACAGGAAGCAUGUACACAGCUGCACACUCCACGCCGGAAUUAGCAUCUUUCUCAAUCGUGCAGUGUCGGACGGUUGAGAAAAGUAAACCGCUGCGUCCACUGGCUGGAUCGAGGGGGGGCAGGCCUGUUCAACGCUGCUUACAGCUUCAGUUGAGGAUGAUUCAGGUUUGGUGUGAACAGCCACUAAAGUCGUUUCUAACACUCUGUUAAAUGAAGAAAUUCACAGUUUGUACAAACCACAGUUUAAUCUAACACCAUCGGGCUCAGCAAGCAUUCACAGACGAGAGCAGCAGCUACUAUGAGUGUAACUGCAGCAGCCAGUGGAUUUGUUGUCCUUCUUCUCACUGUGACAGUGGUACAGUGUGAGAAUGAAGUGUUGGAUCGUGGCUUCACACAUAUGGCAGACAUUAAGCCAGAAGUGUCAGAAGGACAUGAGCGUUUCACUUCUCCUACAUUGUACUAUCCUUCAGAUGCUCCAAAGGUUCCCACUGUGUCAGUGAGUCCCUCUGGUGAGAUCAUGGAGGGCAGCUCAGUGACUCUGACCUGCAGCAGUGAUGCUAACCCAGCAGCUAAAUACACC